rnacentral:rRNA from 1 species
UACAGAGGGUGCAAGCGUUAAUCGGAAUUACUGGGCGUAAAGCGCGUGUAGGCGGCCCGAUAAGUCCGCUGUGAAAGUCCAGGGCUCAACCCUGGGAUGCCGGUGGAUACUGUCGGGCUCGAGUCCGGAAGAGGCGAGUGGAAUUCCUGGUGGUAGCGGUGAAAUGCGCAGAUAUCAGGAGGAACACCAAUGGCGAAGGCAGCUCGCUGGGACGUGACUGACGCUGAGACGCGAAAGCGUGGGGAGCGAACAGG